rnacentral:rRNA from 1 species
GACGAACGCUCGUGGCGGGCUUAACACAUGCAAGUCGAACGGAAAGGCCCUGCUUUUGUGGGGUGCUCGAGUGGCGAACGGGUGAGUAACACGUGAGUAACCUGCCCUUGACUUUGGGAUAACUUCAGGAAACUGGGGCUAAUACCGGAUAGGAGCUCCUGCUGCAUGGUGGGGGUUGGAAAGUUUCGGCGGUUGGGGAUGGACUCGCGGCUUAUCAGCUUGUUGGUGGGGUAGUGGCUUACCAAGGCUUUGACGGGUAGCCGGCCUGAGAGGGUGACCGGCCACAUUGGGACUGAGAUACGGCCCAGACUCCUACGGGAGGCAGCAGUGGGGAAUAUUGCACAAUGGGCGGAAGCCUGAUGCAGCAACGCCGCGUGCGGGAUGACGGCCUUCGGGUUGUAAACCGCUUUCGCCUGUGACGAAGCGUGAGUGACGGUAAUGGGUAAAGAAGCACCGGCUAACUACGUGCCAGCAGGCGCGGUGAUACGUAGGGUGCGAGCGUUGUCCGGAUUUAUUGGGCGUAAAGGGCUCGUAGGUGGUUGAUCGCGUCGGAAGUGUAAUCUUGGGGCUUAACCCUGAGCGUGCUUUCGAUACGGGUUGACUUGAGGAAGGUAGGGGAGAAUGGAAUUCCUGGUGGAGCGGUGGAAUGCGCAGAUAUCAGGAGGAACACCAGUGGCGAAGGCGGUUCUCUGGGCCUUUCCUGACGCUGAGGAGCGAAAGCGUGGGGAGCGAACAGGCUUAGAUACCCUGGUAGUCCACGCUGUAAACGGUGGGUACUAGGUGUGGGGUCCAUUCCACGGGUUCCGUGCCGUAGCUAACGCUUUAAGUACCCCGCCUGGGGAGUACGGCCGCAAGGCUAAAACUCAAAGGAAUUGACGGGGCCCCGCACAAGCGGCGGAGCAUGCGGAUUAAUUCGAUGCAACGCGUAGAACCUUACCUGGGUUUGACAUGGAUCGGGAGUGCUCAGAGAUGGGUGUGCCUCUUUUGGGGUCGGUUCACAGGUGGUGCAUGGCUGUCGUCAGCUCGUGUCGUGAGAUGUUGGGUUAAGUCCCGCAACGAGCGCAACCCUUGUUCACUGUUGCCAGCACGUUAUGGUGGGGACUCAGUGGAGACCGCCGGGGUCAACUCGGAGGAAGGUGGGGAUGACGUCAAGUCAUCAUGCCCCUUAUGUCCAGGGCUUCACGCAUGCUACAAUGGCUGGUACAGAGAGUGGCGAGCCUGUGAGGGUGAGCGAAUCUCGGAAAGCCGGUCUCAGUUCGGAUUGGGGUCUGCAACUCGACCUCAUGAAGUCGGAGUCGCUAGUAAUCGCAGAUCAGCAACGCUGCGGUGAAUACGUUCCCGGG